AUACAUAAACAAAUUAGGUGAGUUCUCAUUAUUAUCCACUAGAAGACAAUUAUUAUGUUAUGGCAAGCUUGAAGAUAUAACAUAAAACAAGUAAUAGCUGUUAUACAUGUAGAUUUUGUACGAAUUUGUAGACAUCAUUGUUGCACGUUGAACUUGUUUGGUGGCUGGAAUCUUAUUUGUAAUGGAGAAAUGCUGCUGAAAUUUUGUCUUGUUACUUAACCAAUUUUCCAGUUGAUUUUUUGUAUUCUUUUUCUAAAUUGAUUUUUAAUACUUUUACAGGUUAUGGAAAUUGAAGGUCACCAGAAGCAAACUUUUGAGGACAAAAAGGUUGACUAUCAUUUUGCUAGAAAUGUUGGGAAAAGUGUAUAUUACAGUCUAGGGGAUAUUAGCUAUAUAGGUUUUUGCUAUGGGUCUAUGUACAAAAUACUGUGACUAAAUUACAUCUUUGAUGUACAAUGCCAGUAACUGAUAUAUGGUGAUCAUUUUUUGUAAUUACUUUUUCUAUAUAUAUGAAAGCAUCAUCAUCUUUACAUUAAUUAUUA